rfam:Asian citrus Psyllid, Diaphorina citri - Florida Strain, whole genome shotgun sequence.
GCAAGAGGCAAUAUCACGUUGGAUACACCAGUUCUCAAUGGAUCACUCAAGUUAAGAAACGUUGCGCGUGGUUAGUAUGCAGAAGGGUGACCAUCUGGGCUCACUGGGGCUACGAAAA